GAAGCCUUAACUAUCCUAAAUAAAGACUUAAAAAUAUACAAAUCAAAUUACAGGCUGGGGAUAUAGCUCAGUUGUGCCUGCCUCAUGUGCACAAGGCCCUGGGUUCAAUCCCCAGCACCACAAAAUUUUUUUUAAAAAACACACAAGCCAGGUAUGGUGGUGUGUGCCUGUAAUCCCAGCAAAUCAGGAGGCUGAGGCAGGAGAUCACAUGCUUGAGGCCAGCCUCAGGAUUUUAGCAGGACCCUCAAUAACUUAGACCUUGUCUCAAAAUUUAAAAAUGGGCUGAGGUGUAGCUUAGUAGCCGGAUGCCCCUGGGUUCAAUCCCAGUAACUACCCCCACAAAUAACUUAUAGGACAAGUAGGCAUAAAAUCAGCAAGGAUAGCCAAGCACAGUGGUGCACACCUGUAAUCCCAGUGGUUCAGGAGGCAGAGGCAAGCAGAUUGUGAGUUCAAAGCCAGCCUCAGCAAAAGUGAGGCACUAAGCAACUCAGUGAGACCCUGUCUCUAAAUGAAACACAAAAUAGGGCUGGGGAUGUGGCUCAGUGGUCGAGUGCCCCUGAGUUCAAUCUGCAGUAACAACAACAACAAAAAUAAGCAGGGAUAUAGUAUACUAUCAAUCAAAUUUAUCUGGUUGAUAUUUAUAGAAGACUCCAUCCAACAACAAAAUACAUUUUUUUCAGUUACAUGGACUGUUUAUCAUAAUAAUCUGUGUUCUAAGUCAUAAAGUAAGUCUAUAAAUUCAACAAGAACCAAGACAUAGAAAAGUUAUCUGAGCACAAUGAAAUUGAACCAGGUAUCAUUAAGAAAGAUCUGGAAAAUCCCUAAAUACUUGAAAAUGAAACAGUGUACUUCUAAAUAAUCCAUGGAUCAAAGAAGAAAUCAAAAGAGAACUUAGAAAAUAUUUUGAACUGGGGCUGGGGUUGUGGCUCAGUGGUACAGUGCUUCUAGCAUGUGUGAGGCACUGGGUUCGAUUCUCAGCACCACAUACAAAUAUAAAUAAAGGUCCAUCAACAACUAAUAAAAUAUUUUUUAAGAAGGAAAAUAUUUUGAACUGAGCAAAACCAUAUCAUAACUUAUGGAAUUCUUCUAAAGCAAAUAAAC
rnacentral:lncRNA from 1 species